CCUACGGGUGGCAGCAGUGAGGAAUAUUGGUCAAUGGACGAGAGUCUGAACCAGCCAAGUAGCGUGAAGGAUGACUGCCCUAUGGGUUGUAAACUUCUUUUAUAAAGGAAUAAAACGCGGCACGUGUGCCUUUUUGCAUGUACUUUAUGAAUAAGAAUCGGCUAACUCCGUUCCAGCAGCCGCGGUAAUACGGAGGAUCCGAGCGUUAUACGGAUUUAUUGGGUUUAAAGGGAGCGUAGAUGGGUUUUUAAGUCAGUUGUGAAAGUUUGCGGCUCAACCGUAAAAUUGCAAUUGAUAAUGGCAGUCUGGAGUACAGUUGAGGUAGGCGGAAUGCGUGGUGUAGCGGUGAAAUGCGUAGAUAUCACGAAGAACCCCGAUUGCGAAGGCAGCUUACUAAACUGUGACUGACAUUGAUGCUCGAAAGUGUGGGUAGCAAACAGGAUUAGAUACCCUUGUAGUC
rnacentral:rRNA from 1 species